rnacentral:tRNA from 1 species
UGGCUCAGUUGGUAGAGCAUGGAGCUUGCAACGCCAAGGGACAUGGGUUCAAUUCCCACU